rnacentral:tRNA from 1 species
CGGGUGAGGGAGGUGGGCGGGCGCCGUCCCGGGUGGCGGCCGGGUGGCGGCCGGGUCAGGCCGCGACGGGCUCCGAGGCCCGCUCGUCCGC